CCUACGGGAGGCAGCAGUGAGGAAUAUUGGUCAAUGGACGAGAGUCUGAACCAGCCAAGUAGCGUGAAGGAUGACUGCCCUAUGGGUUGUAAACUUCUUUUAUAUGGGAAUAAAAUGUUCCACGUGUGGGAUUUUGUAUGUACCAUAUGAAUAAGGAACGGCUAACUCCGUUCCAGCAGCCGCGGUAAUACGGAGGAUCCGAGCGUUAUCCGGAUUUAUUGGGUUUAAAGGGAGCGUAGGUGGAUUGUUAAGGCAGUUGUGAAAGUUUGCGGCUUAACCGUAAAAUUGCAGUUGAAACUGGCAGUCUUGAGGACAGUAGAGGUGGGCGGAAUUCGUGGUGUAGCGGUGAAAUGCUUAGAGAUCACGAAGAACUCCGAUUGCGAAGGCAGUUCACUGGACUGCAACUGACACUGAGGCUCGAAAGUGUGGGUAUCAAACAGGAUUAGAUACCCCUGUAGUC
rnacentral:rRNA from 1 species